UACGUAGGUGGCAAGCGUUGUCCGGAUUUACUGGGCGUAAAGAGCGCGCAGGCGGUCGGAUAAGUCGAAUGUGAAAGCCCCCGGCUCAACUGGGGAGGGUCAUUCGAUACUGUUCGACUCGAAGGCAGGAGAGGGAAGUGGAAUUCCCGGUGUAGUGGUGAAAUGCGUAGAUAUCGGGAGGAACACCAGUGGCGAAGGCGAGUCCCUGGACAGGUCCUGACGCUGAGGCACGAAAGCGUGGGGAGCGAUCCGG
rnacentral:rRNA from 1 species